rnacentral:rRNA from 1 species
CGACCAGACUCCUACGGGAGGCAGCAGUGGGGAAUAUUGGGCAAUGGGCGCAAGCCUGACCCAGCAACGCCGCGUGAAGGAAGAAGGCUUUCGGGUUGUAAACUUCUUUUAAGAGGGAAGAGAAGAAGACGGUACCUCUUGAAUAAGCCACGGCUAACUACGUGCCAGCAGCCGCGGUAAUACGUAGGUGGCAAGCGUUGUCCGGAUUUACUGGGUGUAAAGGGCGUGCAGCCGGGCUGACAAGUCAGAUGUGAAAUCCCGCGGCUCAACCGCGGAACUGCAUUUGAAACUGUCAGUCUUGAGUGCGGGAGGGGCAGGCGGAAUUCCUAGUGUAGCGGUGAAAUGCGUAGAUAUUAGGAGGAACACCGGUGGCGAAGGCGGCCUGCUGGACUGUAACUGACGUUGAGGCUCGAAAGCGUGGGGAGCAAACAGGAUUAGAUACCCCAGUA